ACUAUGUAAAAGGUGCCUUUUGCCUUCCACCAUGAUUGUGAGGCCUCUCCAGAUAUGUGGAACUGUAGAAAUUCAGAAAUUCAGUGUGUAAAAUGGUAAAGUGGAUUGAAGUUGAAGAUAUUAGAUCAUUUAAGAGGUCAAUAAAUGAAGAAAUAAACAGGCAAAUGAGAAGACUGAUGAUGAAGAGGACCUUUAAAAGUGUAUUUCUGUUACAGUUAUAUUUUUUUAAAAAAAAGUGAAUUGAAGCCAUUUAUAAUGAUUGCUAAGAGGCAUGCUAAAGUUUUUAAAACAAAUAAAGCAUUAAAAAAUAA
rnacentral:antisense_RNA from 1 species